GACGAACGCUGGCGGCGUGCUUAACACAUGCAAGUCGAACGGAAAGGCCCUGCUUUUGUGGGGUGCUCGAGUGGCGAACGGGUGAGUAACACGUGAGUAACCUGCCCUUGACUUUGGGAUAACUUCAGGAAACUGGGGCUAAUACCGGAUAGGAGCUCCUGCUGCAUGGUGGGGGUUGGAAAGUUUCGGCGGUUGGGGAUGGACUCGCGGCUUAUCAGCUUGUUGGUGGGGUAGUGGCUUACCAAGGCUUUGACGGGUAGCCGGCCUGAGAGGGUGACCGGCCACAUUGGGACUAAGAUACGGACCAGACUCCUACGGGAGGCAGCAGUGGGGAAUAUUGCCCAAUGGGCGGAAGCCUGAUGCAGCAACGCCGCGUGCGGGAUGACGGCCUUCGGGUUGUAAACCGCUUUCGCCUGUGACGAAGCGUGAGUGACGGUAAUGGGUAAAGAAGCACCGGCUAACUACGUG
rnacentral:rRNA from 1 species